rnacentral:rRNA from 1 species
AACGAACGCUGGCGGCAUGCCUAACACAUGCAAGUCGAACGAAGUCUUCGGACUUAGUGGCGCACGGGUGCGUAACGCGUGGGAAUCUGCCCUUGGGUACGGAAUAACUCAGAGAAAUUUGUGCUAAUACCGUAUAAUGUCGUAAGACCAAAGAUUUAUCGCCCAAGGAUGAGCCCGCGUAAGAUUAGCUAGUUGGUGGGGUAAAAGCCUACCAAGGCGACGAUCUUUAGCUGGUCUGAGAGGAUGAUCAGCCACACUGGGACUGAGACACGGCCCAGACUCCUACGGGAGGCAGCAGUGGGGAAUAUUGGACAAUGGGCGAAAGCCUGAUCCAGCAAUGCCGCGUGAGUGAUGAAGGCCCUAG